rnacentral:rRNA from 1 species
GUCGAGCGGACCGACGGGAGCUUGCUCCCUUAGGUUAGCGGCGGACGGGUGAGUAACACGUGGGUAACCUGCCUGUAAGACUGGGAUAACUCCGGGAAACCGGGGCUAAUACCGGAUGCUUGAUUGAACCGCAUGGUUCAAUUAUAAAAGGUGGCUUUUAGCUACCACUUACAGAUGGACCCGCGGCGCAUUAGCUAGUUGGUGAGGUAACGGCUCACCAAGGCAACGAUGCGUAGCCGACCUGAGAGGGUGAUCGGCCACACUGGGACUGAGACACGGCCCAGACUCCUACGGGAGGCAGCAGUAGGGAAUCUUCCGCAAUGGACGAAAGUCUGACGGAGCAACGCCGCGUGAGUGAUGAAGGUUUUCGGAUCGUAAAACUCUGUUGUUAGGGAAGAACAAGUACCGUUCGAAUAGGGCGGUACCUUGACGGUACCUAACCAGAAAGCCACGGCUAACUACGUGCCAGCAGCCGCGGUAAUACGUAGGUGGCAAGCGUUGUCCGGAAUUAUUGGGCGUAAAGCGCGCGCAGGCGGUUUCUUAAGUCUGAUGUGAAAGCCCCCGGC